ACACCCGAAGCCAGUGGCCUAAACCUGUUAGGGAGCUGUCGAAGGUGGGAUCGGCGAUUGGGACGAAGUCGUAACAAGGUAGCCGUACCGGAAGGUGCGGCUGGAUCACCUCCUUU
rnacentral:rRNA from 1 species